rnacentral:rRNA from 1 species
GAUGAACGCUGGUGGCGUGCCUAAUACAUGCAAGUCGAGCGAAUGGAUUAAGAGCUUGCUCCUUGGGUGGCGAGUGGCGGACGGGUGAGGAAUACAUCGGAAUCUACUCUGUCGCGGGGGAUAACGUAGGGAAACUUACGCUAAUACCGCAUACGACCUACGGGUGAAAGCAGGGGACCUUCGGGCCUUGCGCGAUUGAAUGAGCCGGUGUCGGGUUAGCUUGUUGGCGGGGUAAAGGCCCACCAAGGCGACGAUCCGUAGCUGGUCUGAGAGGAUGAUCAGCCACACUGGAACUGAGACACGGUCCAGACUCCUACGGGAGGCAGCAGUGGGGAAUAUUGGACAAUGGGCGCAAGCCUGAUCCAGCCAUACCGCGCGGGUGAAGAAGGCCUUCGGGUUGUAAAGCCCUUUUGUUGGGAAAGAAAUCCAGCUGGCUAAUACCCGGUUGGGAUGACGGUACCCAAAGAAUAAGCACCGGCUAACUUCGUGCCAGCAGCCGCAGUAA